CAGCAGCCGCGGUAAUACGAAGGGUGCAAGCGUUAAUCGGAAUUACUGGGCGUAAAGCGUGCGUAGGCGGUGAGUUAAGUCUGCUGUGAAAUCCCCGGGCUCAACCUGGGAAUAGCAGUGGAUACUGGCUCGCUAGAGUGUGUCAGAGGAUGGUGGAAUUCCCGGUGUAGCGGUGAAAUGCGUAGAGAUCGGGAGGAACAUCAGUGGCGAAGGCGGCCAUCUGGGACAACACUGACGCUGAGGCACGAAAGCGUGGGGAGCAAACAGGAUUAGAUACCCCAGUAGUCCCUGUCUCUUAUAC
rnacentral:rRNA from 1 species